AACCUCCGCAAUGUGAGAAAUCGCGACGGGGGGAUCCCAAGUGCCAUUCUUAACGGGAUGGCUUUUCAUUAGUGUAAAGAGCUUUUGGAAUAAGGGCUGGGCAAGACCGGUGCCAGCCGCCGCGGUAACACCGGCAGCUCUAGUGGUAGCAGUUUUUAUUGGGCCUAAAGCGUCCGUAGCCGGUUUAAUAAGUCUCUGGUGAAAUCCUGUAGCUUAACUAUGGGAAUUGCUGGAGAUACUAUUAGACUUGAGACCGGGAGAGGUUAGAGGUACUCCCAGGGUAGAGGUGAAAUUCUGUAAUCCUGGGAGGACCGCCUGUUGCGAAGGCGUCUAACUGGAACGGUUCUGACGGUGAGGGACGAAAGUUAGGGGCGCGAACCGGAUUAGAUACCCGGGUAGUCCUAACUGUAAACGAUGCGGACUUGGUGUUGGGGUGGCUUUGAGCUGCUCCAGUGCCGAAGGGAAGCUGUUAAGUCCGCCGCCUGGGAAGUACGGUCGCAAGACUGAAACUUAAAGGAAUU
rnacentral:rRNA from 1 species